UGCUCUCUUUUUUCUCAUUUUCCCUUUUCUUCUUCUAGAAGGCGUUCAUGGUUAUGAAGCUGUUGGCAAUCUGUUAGUUAAGACAACAUUCCCAUAAAUUUACCCCUUUUCUGAAAGAGAGAAACAAUGACUUCGGAGGGUAGUUCGUCGUUGAAAGAGGAGUUAUCCGAUUCCGAUGGAAAACCAGUUAGUCGGAAUCCGAGUGAAGCCUCCAUUUACACCGAGGACGACGAAUCCAGCUCGGUCCUAAAUGUACAAUCAAGGAACAUCUCGAGAAAGAUAAGGAUGAUGAGAGCUUGAGGAAGUGGAAGGAACAACUCCUAGGAGGUGUGGAUGUGAACGCCAUUGAUGAGGCUCAAGAGCCAGAUGUGAAGAUCAUUAGCCUGAUGAUACGGAUACGGACGUCCCGUGAGGACGUCGGGUGUCCUCGGACGUGC